rnacentral:rRNA from 1 species
UACGGGGGGGGCAAGCGUUGUUCGGAAUUACUGGGCGUAAAGGGCUCGUAGGCGGCCAACUAAGUCAGACGUGAAAUCCCCCGGCUUAACCUGGGAACUGCGUCUGAUACUGGACGGCUGGAGUUUGGGAGAGGGAUGUAGAAUUCCAGGUGUAGCGGUGAAAUGCGUAGAUAUGUCACAGAACACCGAUUGCGAAGGCAGCUUACUAAAGUGCGAUUGACGCUGAGGCACGAAAGCGUGGGGAUCAAACAGG